rnacentral:rRNA from 1 species
AUGGAGUCGUCGCAGUCGCGGCAGAAGAGCGCCCUGUCGUCCACGCAGAAGACGAAGGCCGGCUUGUCCUGGCAGACGUCGCAGCGCGGGAGGCCGGCGGCGGCGGCGGCGUCCUCGAGCGGGAGGCGCUGGUGCUUGCUGGCCAGCUUGUUGGCGGCGUGGAUCUGCACGUCGCAGCGCGCGCACAGCGCCGCCUCGUCCGCGCAGCACACCACCGUCGCCGCCGCGCCCUCGCACGCGUCGCACUGGAUCCUCAUGGCUUCUUCUACGCUCUGGUCGCUCGCUCUACAGCUCAGCUCAGCUCAGGCUUCACGUGCGCCGAUUAGCUGCUGGUUGGGAAAAUGA